rnacentral:rRNA from 1 species
GUGAGGAAUAUUGGUCAAUGGGGGGAACCCUGAACCAGCCAUCCCGCGUGCAGGAAGACAGUUCUAUGGAUUGUAAACUGCUUUUCUUGGGGAAGAAUAAUGACGACGUGUCGUCAGAUGACGGUACCCGAGGAAUAAGCAUCGGCUAACUCCGUGCCAGCAGCCGCGGUAAUACGGAGGAUGCAAGCGUUAUCCGGAUUUAUUAGGUUUAAAGGGUGUGUAGGCGGAUGUAUAAGUCAGUGGUGAAAGUCAGCAGCUUAACUGUAGAAUUGCCAUUGAUACUGUAUGUCUUGAGUGUGGUUGAGGUAUGCGGAAUGUGUAAUGUAGCGGUGAAAUGCAUAGAUAUUACACAGAACACCGAUUGCGAAGGCAGCAUGCUAAGCCACAACUGACGCUGAUGCACGAAAGCGUGGGGAUCAAACAGGAUUAGAAACCCGUGUAGUCC